UACGUAGGGGGCAAGCGUUGUCCGGAAUCAUUGGGCGUAAAGCGCGUGUAGGCGGCUCGGUAAGUCCGCUCUGAAAGUCCGGGGCUCAACCCCGGGAGGCGGGUGGAUACUGUCGAGCUCGAGUCCGGAAGAGGCGAGUGGAAUUCCUGGUGUAGCGGUGAAAUGCGCAGAUAUCAGGAGGAACACCAAUGGCGAAGGCAGCUCGCUGGGACGGUACUGACGCUGAGACGCGAAAGCGUGGGGAGCAAACAGG
rnacentral:rRNA from 1 species